ensembl:lncRNA
UUUGACUUUAUUUUUUACACUUUUAUCUUUGACCAUCAUUCUAUCCCCCGCCCAUCAACUCCACUCCCACUUGCCUAGUCAAAUGAAGGUUCUAUAAAACAAAUACAUAGUUAGAUUUUCCUCCCAUUCAAUGUUGUUUGUUUCAGACUCUGUGCGGCCUUAUUGUAUGCAAUGCAACAGGACAAAAUAUAUUGGUGUUAUUCAUGUAUCUUUUUAUUCCAUUACCAUUCUUAAAAUUGUGGCAUCGUCUUUCAAUUCAGGGAAAAGCACAUUACCAAUUGAGGUUAAAAUUGACACAAUAGAAAAAGUUAUCCGACUGUUCUUCUCUGUAGAAAGUGUCAAUGGUAAAGUAUGGAAUACUGACCUUUACAGAACACAUUUCAAACCAUGGGUUCAAUUCACUGACCUCUAUGGAACCCAUUUCAAAUCCAUGGGUUCAAUUCACUGACCUCUAUAGAACCCACUUCAACAAGAACACACAUCUUCCUGAUAAUGCAAAAAAAAAGGAGUUACUGCAUUAAAAAAUAAAUACAAAUAUAGAUUAUUUAAAAAUAUAAGUAUAUAAACAAAUAAAUAGUUUCCCCCCCACCCAGUUGUCAUGGAGAUGGUGUAUGGUAAUGAGACACCUGUGUAACAACCACAGGUCAUGUGAUUUCCUUCCUGAGAGGGGGAUGGGGUUACAGAGGGGGUGGAGGCAGACAGACAGAGACAGUAGGCAAAGGAGAAGAGAAAGAAAGGACAAUAUUAUUCUACAGGAAUACAAUGGAGUGGGCUUCACAAGCCAUACUAUUGAAUCUACAAGUGCAGCAUUAUAAACACAUGAACCGAAAAGGUCGAAUAACAUGUAUCCUCAUGUCUGUCUCAUCUGAAAACAGCAUUAUUUAUGUUGUUUUUUAAUGGGAUAGUAGUCAGUUUAGUACACUAGUCCAGGACUUGACUGGUAGGACCACUUCCCCCUUGUUUCAGGGAGCAAGUGUGUAAAUCCGACUCAUUCAGAGACAUUUCCACAUCAAUUUAAAAAAAGACAUUUAGAAAACAAAACCCCUUUUCCUUCACACAAUGCUCC